rnacentral:lncRNA from 1 species
UGUAGUCCAGCAUAGUAAUUCUAUUCAGAUAUGUAUAGUUCAGUUAAGUCACGAAGGGAAAGGAAGCUUUCGUUGAGGGCUAUCUACUAGGUGGUACAGUGCUAGGUAAUUAACUUUAUCUCAAUCCUUAAACAACUCUGCAGUGGUAAGGGUGAUUAAUUCAUCCCAUUUUGUAGACAAGGAAACUGAAUGUUAGAGGGAUGGCAUAAUUUGUUCAUGUUCAUAUAGGUAGUACUUUGGGAAGCAGAAUUUGAACACAGAUCUUUCUGGUUCUAGAGCUUUGUGUUCUUCUACCUUGCUAUGAUGUUAAGUAAUUAGUUUUAACAUGCCACUUAAGUUUAAAGCCUUAAGUAGUCCUUUUAAGAAAUCUUUUGUUGCUGGUUAUUCUCAUUUAACACUCCUAUUUUAAUUUCCAGGUUCAGGUGACCUCACUUUGCCAGAACCGUGGGUCUUCAUGAAAUAAGAGAUUUCAUUUGGUUUUUGUUUUGGUAGAAAUUGCUGUUAGGGCAAUCACCUACCUCACUAUAUUCCACUCUCUCUUCUGGAUAUUGGUGCUCAGCCCUUUUUUGAACCGCAAACCUUAUUAAUAAAAUAGUUUUCAUUCUUUGAGCGUUCCUCUUCUCACUGCCCACCCCCCCGCCACCACCACCCUACUGACUUUGAUGAGCUGAACUGAAC